UCCGGUGUGGUGUAGCGGUAACAUUGUUGACUCUCAUAUCCUUGCUCAAGCAAGAUCUGUUUACUCAAUAGCCCGGGGUUCGAUUCCCCGCUCCGGAA